GGCGGGGUCUCGGGCUGGGCGGAGGUGAGUCCCCGGGCCUCUGGGCGCCUCAGUUGCCUCGGGUUGGAAAAUGGGCUGUUAAUGUGACCCCGGGGGAGUCCCUGGACCCCGGGGUGUACGGGGACGUCCGUGUCCCCGGCUUCCCGGAGGCUCCAUCGCGGCUGGGCGCCUGUUCUCUCAGCGGCCCAGAGCCACUUGCGCUCCCGCCGCCCCUGCCCCGACGGACCCGCCGGUGAGGAGCGUCCCCCCGCCCCGUCCCCCGGCCCAGGGCAGGGGUUGGAGGGUAGGGAUUAGAUGGCUGCGUUGUGCAAGUGAAAAGAGGGGAAGCUUCCCUGGCGGUCCAGGGGUUGACUCCGCGGUUCCACUGCAGAAGGCGUGGAGGCAAUCCCGCAAGCCCGCAUGCCCCGCCUUACAGCCAAAGCAAACAAACACAGGAGUUCGGGAAAGAAUAAGCAGGAAAGCUGGGACACGCCCCUGAUCUUCGACUUUAAAAGCCCAAAGUCGGAAUGUCAGCCCCAUGUUACAACCAGUGAGAUCUGGGUCCCAGCUCUGCCCUCUGGGCACCACCAUGCCUGCCAGCUCCCUCUGCCCAGGACAGAGAUCAGAAAACCACUCACAGAUGGACCCCAGGACUCCGCCUGUCCAGUUGCCACUUGCCCAGUGGCUUCAUUUUACAGAUGAGAAAAUUGAGGCCGAAAAGGGAACAAGUCAAAGGACAGACUGGAGAGAGCCUAGCAGUGUAAUAAAAGUUCAUGACUUUCAG